AAUUGAAACGCUGGCGGCGAUGCCUUACACAUGCAAGUCGAACGGUAACAGAUCUUCGGAUGCUGACGAGUGGCGAACGGGUGAGUAAUAUAUCGGAACGUGCCCAGUCGUGGGGGAUAACGCAGCGAAAGCUGUGCUAAUACCGCAUACGAUCUAUGGAUGAAAGCGGGGGAUCGCAAGACCUCGCGCGAUUGGAGCGGCCGAUAUCAGAUUAGGUAGUUGGUGGGGUAAAGGCCCACCAAGCCAACGAUCUGUAGCUGGUCUGAGAGGACGACCAGCCACACUGGAACUGAGACACGGUCCAGACUCCUACGGGAGGCAGCAGUGGGGAAUUUUGGACAAUGGGCGCAAGCCUGAUCCAGCAAUGCCGCGUGCAGGAUGAAGGCCUUCGGGUUGUAAACUGCUUUUGUACGGAACGAAAAGGCUCUGGUUAAUACCUGGGGCUCAUGACGGUACCGUAAGAAUAAGCACCGGCUAACUACGUG
rnacentral:rRNA from 1 species